UCAUAUAAAACUGUGCUUGUAACACCUUCCUUCUUUAUGUCCAAAAUAGAGAUGUAACUGAAAUUUCAACCAAAAACAGAUGAAGCAACUAUGUUAAGAGUAAAAGGAAACAUCUAGGCCUUUUCCAAAAGGGCUUGCCCGAAGAAGAAGACCUUCCACCUUUAGACAACCUGUCUGAAGUUUCACCUGAAGAUCGUGAUUGAUAUAAAUUACAUUUUUGAGCAAGUUGAAAUCGUCUACUAAGUACGAAGAGUUUUUUAGCUCAGAUAGUUUUUCCUGAAAUUGCUGCUUGAACUUGUCACAUCUUGUGCACUCAUAUAUUCUACAUAUGGUGCAGGCAUUUUCUUCUAAAAUUGACAAUGGUUCUUUUGAACUUGUCCUGACCUGAGUUUCUGAUUCGAUUCUAGUUGGGAUGGAAAAGUAUUGUUCAAUUUUCUUAAUGGUGCGUGACAAGCCGUUGUAAUUUUGGUGUGUUCGUCAUGACGUGACGAAGAAGUUGAAUAUUUCCAUAAUUUCGUAGCAGCACGAAAGAAAUGAUGCAUUUAACGUAAACGACAAGUUUUUCAAAUUUUUUAUUGCAGACAUGUUUCGGCACACUUAUGCCAUCUUCAGUGCGGUAUGAUGAAUGAAUAUUUAAAUGAGUUAAUAUAUAAAGAAAUAUGUUACAAGACAUGUAUAUGGACAAAAGGGAUGAAGCGGAAGUUAUUUACAAUUAUUUAAUGAUUAGAGGUUUUAAAUAUUUACAAGUGAAAGAUAGUAUUGACAUGCUGAA